CAAGAAUAAGAACAAACUUUACCAACUUAAAACCUGGAAAGAAAUAGAAUCAAAAACCAAAACUGCUUAAAAACCUAACCCAACCUAUCCAAUUGUAACCUCUAAUUAAGAUAAGAGUAGCAGAGUUUUGGAAUGAAUA